GCCCUAAUAGUAUAAUCUAUUACUUUGGUCUUGUAAACCAAAAAUGAAGACACCCAAUCUUCUUAGAGCA
rnacentral:tRNA from 1 species